rnacentral:rRNA from 1 species
AGUGAACGCUGGCGGUAGGCCUAACACAUGCAAGUCGAACGGCAGCACAGUAAGAGCUUGCUCUUACGGGUGGCGAGUGGCGGACGGGUGAGGAAUAUAUCGGAAUCUACUUUUUCGUGGGGGAUAACGUAGGGAAACUUACGCUAAUACCGCAUACGACCUACGGGUGAAAGCAGGGGAUCUUCUGACCUUGCGCGAAUGAAUGAGCCGAUGUCGGAUUAGCUAGUUGGCGGGGUAAAGGCCCACCAAGUCGACGAUCCGUAGCUGGUCUGAGAGGAUGAUCAGCCACACUGGAACUGAGACACGGUCCAGACUCCUACGGGAGGCAGCAGUGGGGAAUAUUGGACAAUGGGCGCAAGCCUGAUCCAGCCAUACCGCGUGGGUGAAGAAGGCCUUCGGGUUGUAAAGCCCUUUUGUUGGGAAAGAAAAGCAGCAGGUUAAUACCCCGCUGUUCUGACGGUACCCAAAGAAUAAGCACCGGCUAACUUCGUG